rnacentral:tRNA from 3 species
GCCGGCCUAGCUCAAUUGGUAGAGCAACUGACUUGUAAUCAGUAGGUUGGGGGUUCAAGUCCUCUGGUCGGCACCA